rnacentral:rRNA from 1 species
ACUCCUACGGGAGGCAGCAGUGAGGAAUUUUGCGCAAUGGGGGAAACCCUGACGCAGCAACGCCGCGUGAGUGAUGAAGGCUUUCGGGUCGUAAAGCUCUGUCAAGUGGGAAGAAGUUGUGUAUGGCUAAUAUCUGUGCACAUUGACGGUACCACUGAGGGAAGCACCGGCUAACUUCGUGCCAGCAGCCGCGGUAAUACA